UUAAGCCAUGCAUGUCUAAGUACAAGCCGCUAGUCGGCGAAACCGCGAAUGGCUCAAUAAAUCAGUUAUGGUUCCUUAGAUCUUUCCAUCCUACUUGGAUAACUGUGGUAAUUCUAGAGCUAAUACAUGCACCACAAGCUUCUUUCCGCUGAUCGCACGGCCUCCGCGCCGGCGACGCAUCUUUCAAAUGUCUGCCUUAUCAACUUUCGAUGGUAGGUUAUGCGCCUACCAUGGUUGCAACGGGUAACGGGGAAUCGGGGUUCGAUUCCGGAGAGGGAGCCUGAGAAACGGCUACCACAUCCAAGGAAGGCAGCAGGCGCGCAAAUUACCCACUCCCGGCACGGGGAGGUAGUGACGAAAAAUAACGAUACGGGACUCUUCCGAGGCCCCGUGAUUGGAAUGAGUACACUUUAAAUCCUUUAACGAGGACCUAUUGGAGGGCAAGUCUGGUGCCAGCAGCCGCGGUAACUCCAGCUCCAAUAGCGUAUAUUAAAGUUGUUGCGGUUAAAAAGCUCGUAGUUGGAUUCCUGUCUUCGGCCGGGCGGUGC
rnacentral:rRNA from 1 species